GGAAGGCGUCAUACUACUCGCAAUUAGUUCGAUCGAUCGAUCUUUUUGCAGUUGUUAGAGCCGACUCGAGACAUCGUUCCUGCACACGCAACGACUCUCAUACGUGUCGAGAAUGAGUAUGAUUCAAAUCGGAUUAAACCACCUACCAUAUAUAUACGUAAUAUCGAAGAGGAAUACGAUCGAGUCUCGGAGUAGGGCCGGACCGAUCCUGGCAGCACGUAAUCGCUUAAAAUAAGCUGCUUGACAAUGAGACGGUCGCGAUGAAUGAGAGAAGGAGAGAAGAUGAGGAUAGGAAGAGGGAGCAGACGCAAAAAAAGGAAGAAGAAGGAAGAGGAGAAGGAGAGAGAGAGAGAGAGAAAGAGAGAGAGAGAGAGAGAGAUACAAGCAACACUCGUUUUAAUCCGUUGGCUCUCCGGACACAUCCCAGCUGAUUUGUUCCACCAUCUUUGGAAGACGAAAGAGCGUCAUCGAGAUGCGUACAAAUAUCUAUAUAUCCAUCUCUCUUUCUUAUUAAAAAAUUACUUAAUGUGUAUGCAGAUAAUAUACGGAUAUUAUAUA